CGCUAGGCUAACAAAUUACCCCUAUACAGCAGUGAUAGCAGCUACUACAGAUGCUACACAUACGAGUGUUCAAAUACCACCCAGAACAACAGAGUGAGAGAAAAGAGGGCUCACUAUGGAUUUAAGAUCAGCAGCAAGAGGAUUUCUAGCUUUCCUUCUGUCAGUACCAGACAACUUCCAUCAUCGGACAAUCAUACAGUAAAACCAUCCUCCAUCCCUCCCUCCAUCUCUCCCUCUCUCCACAUUAAAAAAAAACACUGAAAAUACCUGCAGUAAACAACCAGAAGAGCUGGAGCACGAGUGCUUU
ensembl:lncRNA